rnacentral:rRNA from 1 species
AUACGGAGGGGGUUAGCGUUGUUCGGAAUUACUGGGCGUAAAGCGUACGUAGGCGGACUGGAAAGUUGGGGGUGAAAUCCCGGGGCUCAACCCCGGAACUGCCUCCAAAACUUCCAAUCUAGAGAUCGAGAGAGGUGAGUGGAAUUCCAAGUGUAGAGGUGAAAUUCGUAGAUAUUUGGAGGAACACCAGUAGCGAAGGCGGCUCACUGGCUCGAUACUGACGCUGAGGUACGAAAGCGUGGGGAGCAAACAGGAUUAGAAACCCUAGUAGUCC